rnacentral:rRNA from 1 species
AUGCUUAGAUAUGAUCUGGAAGACCAGCUCACGGUCAUCUACUCAGACGAGGAGGCCUACUGGCGUCUGAGAGGUACUCAGAAUUGGGUCCUUAAAGGGGACGCCAAUACCGCCUACUUCCAGGCCAUUGCAAACGGCCGCCGUCGCCGGAACUCCAUCCCCCUUCUUUGGGACGGGGAGCACCUCCUACAGAGCCCCGAGGACAUCCGGGCUCAUGUAGACGGCUUUUACAGAGACCUAUUCUCUGCUUCCCCUCGGGGAGGUCUUGCCCUGGCGCAAGAUAUUUGGCCUGCCCACAGUUGCGUUUCGCCUGCGGACAACGAGGCCCUCACGGCUCCGUUUUCCGAGGCGGAAGUCUGGGCGGCUAUUAAGAGCAUGAACCCAUCCUCGGCUCCGGGUCCUGAUGGGCUACCUGUGAAGUUCUUCCAGAACUUCUGGGAGGUGAUCAAACCUGAGGUGAUGGCACUAUUUGACGAGUUCUUCGUCGGGUCCAUCGACCUCGCC